rnacentral:lncRNA from 1 species
GUGACGACCGUGUGGACAAGGACAACGUUCUUCUAAUCGUCGUUGGAGGUGGCGGUGGAGAAUGAUGUCCUACGGUUUUUUCAGGUGACUUGGGUUGUGAUCAUCUCCGACUUAUGGUCACAAGAGGAGAGAGACUAAUGGAAUGAGAGCAAUUCGGGGAAGCAGAAUAGGAAGAAGAGUAAGAUGAAUUGGUAGACUCACUACUACUACGACCAACUAAAUUUUCUUUGAUAGUGACAGUGAAAACUCACCGAGAACUCGAUCCGGUUCCGAUGGCCAUGGCUGGUUGAAGGUGGAAAAGAAAAGAGGGUCCCAGAAGAUGAAUCCAUGAACGAAGAAGAAAAAUGAUUCCAAUUUUGACCCUAAAAUUUUAUGCUUUUUCUUUUAAUUUUAAUUUAGUCAGAAAUAAAAUUAGAACUGUUAGUCAUGUCAGAAAAAAAUUAACGCCCUUGAUUAUAAAGGACUAAAAUUUACAGUUUCAUUAAGAAGAAAGAUGAAAAUGAAGCAAACUUUGGAAAAGGGACUAAACCCAAAAACGCUUGGUAGUUGAAGGACUAAAAACAUAUUUAACCCUUAAUUUUUUAAUGGGACAUAAAAAAUCCAAAAUUUGAAUAUGAAAAACU